CGUAGGUGGCAAGCGUUGUCCGGAAUUAUUGGGCGUAAAGCGCGCGCAGGCGGUUCCUUAAGUCUGAUGUGAAAGCCCCCGGCUCAACCGGGGAAGGGUCAUUGGAAACUGGGGAACGUUGAGUGCAGAAGAGAAGAGCGGAAUUCCACGUGUAGCGGUGAAAUGCGUAGAGAUGUGGAGGAACACCAGUGGCGAAGGCGGCUCUUUGGUCUGUAACUGACGCUGAGGCGCGAAAGCGUGGGGAGCAAACAGGAUUAGAUACCCUGGUAGUCCACGCCGUAAACGAUGAGUGCUAAGUGUUAGAGGGUUUCCGCCCUUUAGUGCUGCAGCUAACGCAUUAAGCACUCCGCCUGGGGAGUACGGCCGCAAGGCUG
rnacentral:rRNA from 1 species